UACAGAGGGGGCGAGCGUUAUUCGGAAUUAUUGGGCGUAAAGGGCGCGUAGGCGGCUUCAUAAGUCUUGGGUGAAAGCCCUCGGCUCAACCGAGGAAUUGCCUUGGAUACUGUGAAGCUCGAGGCUGGAAGAGGGCAGUGGAAUUCCCGGUGUAGCGGUGAAAUGCGCAGAUAUCGGGAGGAACACCUAUGGCGAAGGCAGCUCGCUGGGACGUUACUGACGCUGAGGCACGAAAGCGUGGGGAGCAAACAGG
rnacentral:rRNA from 1 species